AGUGAACGCUGGCGGCAGGCCUAAUACAUGCAAGUCGAACGGCAGCACAGCAGAGCUUGCUCUGUGGGUGGCGAGUGGCGGACGGGUGAGGAAUACAUGGGAAUCUGCCCAGUCGUGGGGGAUAACGUAUGGAAACGUACGCUAAUACCGCAUGCGCCCUAAGGGGGAAAGCCGGGGACCGCAAGGCCUGGCGCGAUUGGAUGAGCCCAUGUUCGAUUAGCUAGUUGGCGGGGUAAAGGCCCACCAAGGCGACGAUCGAUAGCUGGUCUGAGAGGAUGAUCAGCCACACUGGAACUGAGACACGGUCCAGACUCCUACGGGAGGCAGCAGUAGGGAAUAUUGGACAAUGGGGGCAACCCUGAUCCAGCCAUGCCGCGUGAGUGAAGAAGGCCCUCGGGUUGUAAAGCUCUUUUGUCCGGAAAGAAAAGCAAUCGGUUAAUACCCGGUUGUCCUGACGGUACCGGAAGAAUAAGCACCGGCUAACUUCGUGCC
rnacentral:rRNA from 1 species